AGAAGAGACAUAGACACACAGGGAGGAGACAGCCUUGUGAUGAUGAAGGCGAUGAUUGGAGUGAUGAAGCUACAAGCAGAGGUUCCUCCUGGAAAAGGAACGUAAAUCUUGUCAGUGCCUGAGGAUCGGAUACACACUGAAUUGUCUGACAACUUGGGGGUGGAAGGACACUCUAAGGAAGCCAACUACAGAGGAGCAGGACACAAAAAUUCAUUGUAAGGGAGAAAAACCUAUUAGCCAAAGAAAACUCCUCUCUGGAUUAGACCACUGCCUGCCAGCUAUGCUAUGAUAUGUGGUACAGCCCAGCCACCAAGUGUACUGGCUCCGAGGCCAGGCUGCCUGAUCAAAUCUGAACCCCACUCCACCACUAAAUGGUUGUACUCUUUUGUUCUGUUACUAAAAUUCUCUGC
rnacentral:lncRNA from 1 species